rnacentral:rRNA from 1 species
CAGUCGCUGGGUGUAGACCCGAAACCAGGUGAUCUAUCCAUGGCCAGGAUGAAGGUGCGGUAACACGUACUGGAGGUCCGAACCCACUAACGUUGAAAAGUUAGGGGAUGAGCUGUGGAUAGGGGUGAAAGGCUAAACAAACCUGGAAAUAGCUGGUUCUCUCCGAAAACUAUUUAGGUAGUGCCUCGUGUAUCACCUUCGGGGGUAGAGCACUGUCAUGGUUGUGGGGUCCAUUGCGGAUUACUACGCCAUAGCAAACUCCGAAUACCGAAGAGUGCAAUCACGGGAGACAGACAUCGGGUGCUAACGUCCGGUGUCAAGAGGGAAACAACCCAGACCGCCAGCUAAGGUCCCCAAAUAUUGCUAAGUGGGAAACGAAGUGGGAAGGCUAAAACAGUCAGGAGGUUGGCUUAGAAGCAGCCAUCCUUUAAAGAAAGCGUAAUAGCUCACUGAUCGAGUCGUCCUGCGCGGAAGAUGUAACGGGGCUAAGCAAUAUACCGAAGCUGCGGAUGCGUGCUUUGCACGCAUGGUAGGAGAGCGUUCCGUAAGCCUGCGAAGGUGCACUGGAAAGUGUGCUGGAGGUAUCGGAAGUGCGAAUGCUGACAUGAGUAGCGAUAAAGGGGGUGAAAGGCCCCCUCGCCGUAAGCCCAAGGUUUCCUACGCAACGUUCAUCGGCGUAGGGUGAGUCGGCCCCUAAGGCGAGGCAGAAAUGCGUAGCUGAUGGGAAGCAGGUUAAUAUUCCUGCACCAUUGUUGAAUGCGAUGGGGGGACGGAUCGCGGAAGGUUGUCCGGGUGUUGGAAGUCCCGGUCCUUGCAUUGGAGAAGGCGCUUUGGCAAAUCCGGGCGCGGAAUUCAAGGGUGCGAGGCCAGUCGUUUAGGCGACGAAGCAAUCGGAAGUGGUUCCAGGAAAAGCCUCUAAGCUUCAGUUCAACAAGACCGUACCGCAAACCGACACAGGUGGGCGAGAUGAGUAUUCUAAGGCGCUUGAGAGAACUCGGGAGAAGGAACUCGGCAAAUUGGUACCGUAACUUCGGGAUAAGGUACGCCCCUGUAGCUUGAUGCGCCUGCGCGCAGAGGGUGAAGGGGUUGCAAUAAACUGGUGGCUGCGACUGUUUAAUAAAAACACAGCACUCUGCAAACACGAAAGUGGACGUAUAGGGUGUGACGCCUGCCCGGUGCCGGAAGAUUAAAUGAUGGGGUGCAAGCUCUUGAUUGAAGUCCCGGUAAACGGCGGCCGUAACUAUAACGGUCCUAAGGUAGCGAAAUUCCUUGUCGGGUAAGUUCCGACCUGCACGAAUGGCGUAACGAUGGCCACACUGUCUCCUCCCGAGACUCAGCGAAGUUGAAGUGUUUGUGAUGAUGCAAUCUCCCCGCGGCUAGACGGAAAGACCCCAUGAACCUUUACUGUAGCUUUGCAUUGGACUUUGAACCGGUCUGUGUAGGAUAGGUGGGAGGCUAUGAAGCGUGGACGCCAGUCUGCGUGGAGCCAUCCUUGAAAUACCACCCUGAUCUGUUUGAGGUUCUAACCUUGGCCCGUAAUCCGGGUCGGGGACAGUGCAUGGUAGGCAGUUUGACUGGGGCGGUCUCCUCCCAAAGUGUAACGGAGGAGUACGAAGGUACGCUAGGUACGGUCGGAAAUCGUGCUGAUAGUGCAAUGGCAUAAGCGUGCUUAACUGCGAGACCGACAAGUCGAGCAGGUGCGAAAGCAGGUCAUAGUGAUCCGGUGGUUCUGUAUGGAAGGGCCAUCGCUCAACGGAUAAAAGGUACUCUGGGGAUAACAGGCUGAUACCGCCCAAGAGUUCAUAUCGACGGCGGUGUUUGGCACCUCGAUGUCGGCUCAUCUCAUCCUGGGGCUGUAGCCGGUCCCAAGGGUAUGGCUGUUCGCCAUUUAAAGAGGUACGUGAGCUGGGUUUAAAACGUCGUGAGACAGUUUGGUCCCUAUCUGCCGUGGGCGCUGGAUAUUUGAAGGGGGCUGCUCCUAGUACGAGAGGACCGGAGUGGACGAACCUCUGGUGUACCGGUUGUCACGCCAGUGGCAUCGCCGGGUAGCUAUGUUCGGAAGAGAUAACCGCUGAAAGCAUCUAAGCGGGAAACUCGCCUUAAGAUGAGAUAUCCCCGGGGCUUCGAGCCCCUUGAAGGGUCGUUCAAGACCAGGACGUUGAUAGGUCAGGUGUGUAAGCGCAGUAAUGCGUUGAGCUAACUGAUACUAAUUGCCCGUAAGGCUUGAUCCUAUAACAGGUGUGUUU